UACGAAGGGGGGCUAGCGUUGCUCGGAAUCACUGGGCGUAAAGGGUGCGUAGGCGGGUCUUUAAGUCAGGGGUGAAAUCCUGGAGCUCAACUCCAGAACUGCCUUUGAUACUGAGGAUCUCGAGUCCGGGAGAGGUGAGUGGAACUCCGAGUGUAGCGGUGAAAUGCGCAGAUAUCAGGAAGAACACCAGUGGCGAAGGCGGCUCACUGGCCCGGUACUGACGCUGAGGUGCGAAAGCGUGGGGAGCAAACAGG
rnacentral:rRNA from 1 species